rnacentral:rRNA from 1 species
GGUUAAGCGACUAAGCGUACACGGUGGAUGCCCUGGCAGUCAGAGGCGAUGAAGGACGUGCUAAUCUGCGAUAAGCGCCGGUAAGGUGAUAUGAACCGUUAUAACCGGCGAUUUCCGAAUGGGGAAACCCAGUGUGACUCGUCACACUAUCAUUAACUGAAUCCAUAGGUUAAUGAGGCGAACCGGGGGAACUGAAACAUCUAAGUA